CAGCCUACUUUUACUUAUAUGAAGGUAAGAAUUCCUGGUUGAAUUGAUUUUUUUCCUCAAACCUCUUAAGGCUCUAAGUAAGUUGUAAUUUUUAAUUACACCCUAAAACUUUUACCCACUCAGUUUAUAAUCUUUUUUUGUGUAUGAACAUCUUUAUUUGUGAAGAAAGCAAUAAUCAUUUAAUUUAAUUUCUGAUUUGCAGUUUUUACAGAAUAACAAAAUCCAUCACCUGUCUUCGGAAGCUUUCAAGAAUUUGAAUGUAUUACAAAGACUGAGGCUCGAUGGAAAUGCUUUAGUAUGCGGACUCUGUGAGAUCAUGUGGCUGUCUCACCUAUUGCGAGAGAAACAUAUGCAGUCGGUUCAUUUUGCUGCAACCUGUGACCAGCCAGAAACGAUGCACGGGAAAAACUUAUCAAGCAUCAAUGAAGAUGACAUGCAUUGCAAGCCACCAGAACUGAUAUUUUAAAGAACCACAUGAUGUAGAAGUCCUUUGGGGGGUCUGCAUUCUUUACAUGCAAAGCUGAGGGAGAUCCUGAACCAGAAAUUGUGUGGAGCGUGACAGGUGUGGACCGAAUAAUUUGAAGUUAUAACAAUUAAAACAAUCAUAUAACGCAGAACGUGGUACUUCACUUUUAUAAUUAAUUCUAUUUUUAAAUGCACCAGUAUUUAUGAAAAAUCCAUAGUACUGCAACCAGAUCACUCUUAGCGCCUGUAAAACAUAUCACCUUCCACAG
rnacentral:lncRNA from 1 species